rnacentral:rRNA from 1 species
UGAUGCCUGGCAGUUCCCUACUCUCGCAUGGGGAGACCCCACACUACCAUCGGCGCUACGGCGUUUCACUUCUGAGUUCGGCAUGGGGUCAGGUGGGACCACCGCGCUANNNNNNNNNNNNNNNNNNNNUCAGGUGGGACCACCGCGCUACUGCCGCCAGGCAAAUUCUGUUAUCAGACCGUUUUUACGUUCUGAUGUAAUCUGAAUCAGUGCUGAAAAUCGUCUCUCAUCCGCNNNNNNNNNNNNNNNNNNNNGAAUCAGUGCUGAAAAUCGUCUCUCAUCCGCCAAAACAUCUUCGGCGUUGUAAGGUUAAGCCUCACGGUUCAUUAGUACCGGUUAGCUCAACGCAUCGCUGCGCUUACACACCCGGCCUAUCAACGUCGUCGUCUUCAACGUUCCUUCAGGAGACCUAAAGUCUCAGGGAGAACUCAUCUCGGGGCAAGUUUCGUGCUUAGAUGCUUUCAGCACUUAUCUCUUCCGCAUUUAGCUACCGGGCAGUGCCAUUGGCAUGACAACCCGAACACCAGUGAUGCGUCCACUCCGGUCCUCUCGUACUAGGAGCAGCCCCCCUCAGUUCUCCAGCGCCCACGGCAGAUAGGGACCGAACUGUCUCACGACGUUCUAAACCCAGCUCGCGUACCACUUUAAAUGGCGAACAGCCAUACCCUUGGGACCUACUUCAGCCCCAGGAUGUGAUGAGCCGACAUCGAGGUGCCAAACACCGCCGUCGAUAUGAACUCUUGGGCGGUAUCAGCCUGUUAUCCCCGGAGUACCUUUUAUCCGUUGAGCGAUGGCCCUUCCAUUCAGAACCACCGGAUCACUAUGACCUGCUUUCGCACCUGCUCGCGCCGUCACGCUCGCAGUCAAGCUGGCUUAUGCCAUUGCACUAACCUCCUGAUGUCCGACCAGGAUUAGCCAACCUUCGUGCUCCUCCGUUACUCUUUAGGAGGAGACCGCCCCAGUCAAACUACCCACCAGACACUGUCCGCAACCCGGGUAACGGGUCCACGUUAGAACAUCAAACAUUAAAGGGUGGUAUUUCAAGGUCGGCUCCAUGCAGACUGGCGUCCACACUUCAAAGCCUCCCACCUAUCCUACACAUCAAGGCUCAAUGUUCAGUGUCAAGCUAUAGUAAAGGUUCACGGGGUCUUUCCGUCUUGCCGCGGGUACACUGCAUCUUCACAGCGAGUUCAAUUUCACUGAGUCUCGGGUGGAGACAGCCUGGCCAUCAUUACGCCAUUCGUGCAGGUCGGAACUUACCCGACAAGGAAUUUCGCUACCUUAGGACCGUUAUAGUUACGGCCGCCGUUUACCGGGGCUUCGAUCAGGAGCUUCGCUUGCGCUGACCCCAUCAAUUAACCUUCCGGCACCGGGCAGGCGUCACACCGUAUACGUCCACUUUCGUGUUUGCACAGUGCUGUGUUUUUAAUAAACAGUUGCAGCCAGCUGGUAUCUUCGACUGACUUCAGCUCCAUGAGUAAAUCACUUCACCUACGUGUCAGCGUGCCUUCUCCCGAAGUUACGGCACCAUUUUGCCUAGUUCCUUCACCCGAGUUCUCUCAAGCGCCUUGGUAUUCUCUACCUGACCACCUGUGUCGGUUUGGGGUACGAUUUGAUGUUACCUGAUGCUUAGAGGCUUUUCCUGGAAGCAGGGCAUUUGUUGCUUCAGCACCGUAGUGCCUCGUCGUCACGCCUCAGUGUUAAAGUGAACCGGAUUUACCUGGAACACACACCUACACGCUUAAACCGGGACAACCGUCGCCCGGCCAACAUAGCCUUCUCCGU